GACGAACGCUGGCGGCGUGCCUAAUACAUGCAAGUCGAACGAGAGCGACCGGUGCUUGCACUGGUCAAUCUAGUGGCGAACGGGUGAGUAACACGUGGGUAACCUGCUCAUCAGAGGGGGAUAACAUCCGGAAACGGAUGCUAAAACCGCAUAGGUCUUCGAGCCGCAUGGCUUGAAGAGGAAAAGAGGCGCAAGCUUCUGCUGAUGGAUGGACCCGCGGUGCAUUAGCUAGUUGGUGAGGUAACGGCUCACCAAGGCCGUGAUGCAUAGCCGACCUGAGAGGGUGAUCGGCCACAUUGGGACUGAGACACGGCCCAAACUCCUACGGGAGGCAGCAGUAGGGAAUCUUCCGCAAUGGACGCAAGUCUGACGGAGCAACGCCGCGUGAGUGAAGAAGGUUUUCGGAUCGUAAAACUCUGUUGUUAGGGAAGAACAAGUGCUAGAGUAACUGUUAGCGCCUUGACGGUAGCUAACCAGAAAGCCACGGCUAACUACGUG
rnacentral:rRNA from 1 species